UACGUAGGGUGCAAGCGUUGUCCGGAAUUAUUGGGCGUAAAGAGCUCGUAGGCGGUCUGUCGCGUCGGCUGUGAAAACUCGGGGCUCAACCCCGAGCCUGCAGUCGAUACGGGCAGGCUGGAGUUCGGUAGGGGAGACUGGAAUUCCUGGUGUAGCGGUGAAAUGCGUAGAUAUCAGGAAGAACACCCGUGGCGAAGGCGGCUCUCUGGGACGGUACUGACGCUGAGACGCGAAAGCGUGGGGAGCGAACAGGAUUA
rnacentral:rRNA from 1 species